GAUCGUGACGAGGGGCGCCCGGAUACGGGCUGAGAUGCACCCUUAGAACCUGAUCUGGGUCAUUCCAGCGUAGGGACGUCGAUCGGAAAACCU
rnacentral:ncRNA from 1 species